UAGAAAUUCAGAUUACUCAAAGCUGCAGCCAAGGAUUAAGUCUGGGAGAGAGCAGAAUCACUUUGGGAUUGACAGAUUGGAUACUGCGAGGCUGGAUAAAGACUGUAAUGAUCGAAGACUCUAUUGACAUGAUCAUCACUGAGUGCUGGUUGCUCACGGAAGACAAUGUGCUUGAAUAAGCAUGAAUAUCUUGUAACUUUACACGGUUAGAACAUUCAAAACUUUCCUUGUGAAAUUAAAGUUCUCAAGAGUGAAGAUUCUACAUGGGUUCACAGGAGGAGGAAAUUUAAUGUGCUGAAGAGCCUUUUCUCAUUUCAUGCUUUCUUACUUUAUGUCGCAUUUUUGAGGAUAAUUACCCUGAAGAGCAGUUUCUUUCUCCUCAUACCUUGCAAUUACAAGGACGCAUCGUCACCAACAGCCCAAGAACUCCUUUCUGAUUGUGACUGUCAAUGAUCGAAUGACUUAAUUAAAAAGCAAUAUCAGAAGAAGGAAUUUUUAUUAAGAUCUAUUUUUUUAGGAAAGAACCUGUAAUGUAUCACAGCUACUUCCCUUCAACCAUUCGGUUCUUGAACCAACCUGCACAACCCCAAUCACUACCUCAGGAUAGCAACACGAUGACCACUUUGCGCUACAAUGGACCUUGUUUUUUUUUGUUCUAUUUUGUAUAAUCUUGUAUAAUUUAUGUUUUUCUUGUUGUGUCUCUAAUGCUAUGUGCCUGUGAUGCUGCUGCAAGUAAGUUUUCAUUGCACUUGUGCACACCUGUACUUGUGCAUAUGACAAUAAACUCGACUUUGACAUUGACCAGUUACAUUGCAAUACCAUGCAAGAACCAAGGCCUCAUGAAAUAGUAAACAGACUUCACACUGGGAAAGGCCUUUACUUUGUGUCCAUCACAGGGCAUGGGGAAUGUUGAAUGUGCAAGGAGAUUGUGGCCAGAAGAGGCAAGCUGAACAUUGCAGCAAAUGAAAUAAUGUAAGUAAACAAAACCAAUAAAAUAAUUUAAGUAAA